CUUUGCUGCACUAAUCUUCCCCUCCACUACCUUCACACAUGUAUAGAUCCUGUCUCCACACGUCUACUAGUCCGUGCUGUUUCAACACAUUGGUUAAGGCCACCUCCGACUGUGGAUGAGCUUCCUCCCAGUUCCUAUCUAGUGUCGAAUCUGUUUUACAGUUCCUCCAUUCUCAUCGGGCAGCUCCACGGAAUCCGGAGCCCCCCGGCUCCCCCCAACUGCCUCCAACUCCUCCCCACAAUCACCCCCGUGUCUAUAAUUACACUGGGCACAUCACCCUGCGUGUCUAUAAUUACACUGGGCACAUCAUCCCGCGUGUCUAUAAUUACACUGGGCACAUCACCCUGCGUGUCUAUAAUUACACUGGGCACAUCAUCCCGCGUGUCUAUAAUUACACUGGGAACAUCACCCUGCGUGUCUAUAAUUACACUGGGCACAUCACCCUGNNNNNNNNNNGUCUGUAAUUACACUGGGCACAUCACCCUGCGUGUCUGUAAUUACACUGGGCACAUCACCCGGCGUGUCUAUAAUUACACUGGGCACAUCACCUGGUGUGUCUGUAAUUACACUGGGCACAUCACCCGGCGUGUCUGUAAUUACACUGGGCACAUCACCUGGUGUGUCUGUAAUUACACUGGGCACAUCACCCGGCGUGUCUGUGAUUACACUGGGCACAUCACCCGGCGUGUCUGUAAUUCCACUGGGCACAUCAUUCUCCGUUGUCUGUGAGACAGGUGUAUCAGCCUUGGAGUCAGCAUUGCCACUGCCCUCGGUAACCACUGCUGGGAGUUCAGUCACUAGCUCUCCGCCACAGAAACAUCGGCUGCAUCAACAUUAACGUCAUCAGUAUGUACUGAUUUCAUGGCACAUGUUUUAUGAACUGAUAUACAAAACAACCCUAGAUUCAAACUUAGAUGGUUCUAAAACAAUUUUUGCAACCAAUAGAAUGUUAUAUAGAGUAUGUUGGGGAUACAACCAUCCCAGCGCUGCAGAUGUUUCUGCGAAGAGACAGAAUUAUUACUUCAUCUGUUCUGGUAUUGUCCAUAUGUAGCUUGUUUUUGGUCAAAGGUUCAGGAAUGGCUGAAGAAUUUCAAUACUUACCUGGAGCUAACUCUGCAAAUAGCACUGCUGGGUGAUUUAAAAAGUAAUUGUCAAUCGCUCAAUGAUAUUAUAAUAGUCUUAACAAAAAAAACAAUAAAAAACAUUUAUAUAUAUAUAUAUAUAUUUACAAAGAAAUAUAUGGGGGAUUGGAAAUGACGCAGACAAUGACAUGAUUGAUUUAAGCCACAAUCUGCCUGCACUGUUAAAGUUGAUCUACCAUGUAAAAAACAUAAAAAACAUCAGUAUGGGCAACGGAAUCUUGCAAUUCCCAUAUUUGUGGUUGAGUCUGGAGCUGGUGUAGAGGUUGGGGCACCCCUAAACCCCCGGGUCUCAAAUCUCAUUGUGAUUUUACAGACGUGUUCAAUACACCUUAUUUAUACACUUUUGUAAUAUUUAUGAAAUGCAUAUUGUUAUAUUUGGUAGCACUUAUUUGUUUUUCCUUCUCCUCCAACCCCCUUCGAUGUGUAGAACGGAUGUGGGUGGGGCCAGAUCCACAUAAGGGUGCACAUUUUUUAAAAUCACAAUAGCUCUGACGAAGGCCGUGAGGCCGAUAUGUAAGCUUAUUAAAUAUCAGUGAUACUAUCGACAGCAGUUUCCUUUUUCCUUCAUCUUGUUUCUAACUAAAGCAUUUAUCUUUUAAAAUUAUAACUUGUCUUGUUUGUAUUUGUUUUGUGAGGGUUGAGAGGUGUUUACCAGGUUUGUUUGCCAUUAAAUACUAUGCUUUAUUUGAGUUUAACCUGUAGUUGUUGGCUCUCUUCAAAGAAAAAGAUCAUAUUCUUGCUUAAGUUCAGACAUGGAAUUUUCUUCUUUACCUUGUAAAGAUUUUUUAAUGUUUUUUUUCUAAAAUAGUGACUUAUUUUUCUUUAAUUUAAAUUUCUAACUCAGAUUUAGCUUUUGCGGAGUAUGAGAUUUGUUAAAAAAGCAUAAAAGCAUCACAAAUUAUAUCGGCGGUUGGCUUUCUCUGGCCUCUAUGUCAAUUUUUUUAUGGUAAAGGUCUUUAUUUUUUAAUUGACAUAUUUAAUACAUUUUGGGUAUUGAAGAUGCCCUCUGUUCAUUCUCCAUGUUCUGACACUAAGCGUAUUUUAUGUUGGUGUAAUUAAACAUGAUACAAGAGAAUGAUAGCACUAAAUCAUGGAUUUUUUUAACCCAGCAUAUUAUUGAGAGGAUUUUUGGAAAUAAAAAUGCAAUCCUGAGUAGCUUUUCCUACUUUGAAAAAAAAAAAAAAAAGAGUGGUAUUUUGUAGUUGGGAAUAGUAAUCUUCGGGUGUCCUGUAAAAUAUUUGUAGAGAUUACAUUUUUCAUCCUCUUUGGCAGGUAAGCAUUUCAUUGUAAGGUCUACUACUCUUGUUGUAUUCUGCGCUUGUGACAAAUAAAAUUGGAAUUAAUUUGAAUUAAAUUAGCCUUUUAUUUAUUUAUAUGUUUGUCUAAAUGUGUGAUAUAGGUUGCCUCCUAAAUUAAUAUUUCCUGUCUGGGUUUGAUUUAAUAUCGAUUUAAUGCUAUUUAAACACACCAGGUUUGCCCCUACGGGGAUAUACAAUAAACUCAGUGUGUAUUUUUCACCAUGUAAGGUGCAAUUCAAAAUGAGAACCUCUUUCUUGGUCUGUGUGCUGGUAUAUAAGGGACAAUUAUGUAUUCUUAUUUAUCAGGAUGCCUACAUCUCUACUGUUACUACAGUAGGUGGAGGCAUUGGCUUCUCCAACCCAGCUCCUCUUUAAAUAUGACAUUUCUCUCUUUUUUUUUAAAAAGUAUGACUCUUGCAGGAUAACCACAUCUGCUGACAAUCUCUUUAGAAGUUCAUUAACCUUAUGCUUUUUUUGGGGCCAUCAUGAAGCCUAUGCACGUUCCAUGUAACAAGCUGGAUAUUGUUGGCCUUGACUUAUGUGUAGGAUCAAAGUUAACCUCGUCUUUCAUUGAGAACCAGAUGAAACAUUUUAGCAGACAUGUCAGAUGAGGACGGUGGACAGGAUGUCGUCGAGUCAUAGUGUGAAUACGUAGUUAUUGUAUACAUUACAUACAGUUGAAGUCGGAAGUUUACAUACACUUAGGUUGGAGUCAUUAAAACUCGUUAUUCAACCACUCCACCAAUUUCUUGUUAACAAACUAUAGUUUUGGCAAAUCGGUUAGGAGAUCUAUUUUUCCAACAAUUCUUUACAGACAGAUUAUUUCACUUAUAAUUCACUGUAUCACAAUUCCAGUGGGUCAGAAGUUUACAUACACUAAGAUGACUGUGCCUUAAACAGCUUGGAAAAUCCCAUAAAAUGAUGUCAUGGAUUUAGAAACUUAUGAUAGGCUAAUUGACAUCAUUUGAGUAAAUUUGAGGUGUACCUGUGGCUGUAUUUUAAGGCCUACCUUCAAUCUCAGUGCCUCUUUGCUUGACAGCAUGGGAAAAUCAAAAGAAAUGAGCCAAGACCUCAGAAAGAAAUUAUAGACCUCCACAAGUCUGGUUCAUCCUUGGGAGCAAUUUCUAAAAGCCUGAAGGUACCACGUUCAACGGUACAAACAAUAGCACGAGACCAUGGGAGCACGCAGCCGUCAUACCGCUCAGGAAGGAGACGUGUUCUGUCUCCUAGAGAUGAGCGUACUUCGGUGCGAAAAGUGCAAAUCAAUCCCAGAUAAUCAGCAAAGGACCUUGUGAAGAUGCUGGAGGAAACAGGUACAAAAGUAUCUAUAUCCACAAUAAAAGACCGCUUAGCAAGGAAGAAGCCACUGCUUCAAAACCGCCAUAACAAAAGCCAGACUACGGUUUGCAACUGCACAUGGGGACAAAGAUCGCACUUAUUGCAGAAAUGUCUUCUUGUCUGAUGAAACAAAAAUAUAACUUUUUGGCCAUAAUGACCUUCGUUAUGUUUGGAGGAAAAAGGGGGAGGCUUGCAAGCCGAAGAACACCAUCCCAACCGUGAUGGUGGCAUCAUAAGGGAUGAAAAUUACAUGGAUAUAUUGAAGUAUCAUCUCAAGACAUCAGUCAGGAAGUUAAAGCUUGGUUGCAAAUGAGUCUUCCAAAUGGACAAUUGUAAGGGAUUUCCUCCUCCUCUUCCGAAGAGGAGAGGCGAAAAGGAUUGGAGGACCAAUAUGCGGCGUGAUAAGUGUCCAUGGUUCUUUUAAUACGAAAAAUGUACAUAUGAACAAACUAACAAAACAAGAAACGUGAAAAACACAAACAGCCCUAUCUGGUGCAACAAACACAGAGACAGGAACAAACACAGUGAAACCCAGGCUAACUAAGUAUGAUUCUCAAUCAGAGACAACUAAUGACACCUGCCUCUGAUUGAGAACCAUACUAGGCCGAAACAUAGAAAUCCCCAAAUCAUAGAAAAUCAAACAUAGACUGCCCACCCCAACUCACACCCUGACCAUACUAAAUAAUAAAUACAAAACAAAGGAAAUAAAGGUCAGAACGUGACAACAAUGGCCUCAAGCAUACUUCCAAAGUUGUGGCAAAAUGGCUUAAGGACAACAAAGUCAAGGUAUUGGAGUGGCCAUCACAAAGCCCUGACCUCAAUCCUAUAGAAAAUGUGUGAGCAGAACUGAAAAAGAGUGUGCGAGCAAGAAGGCCUACAAACUUGACUCAGUUACACCAGUUCUGUCAGGAGGAAUGGGCCAAAAUUCACCCAACUUAUUGGGUGUUGAACAAUUUAAAGGCAAUGCUACCAAAAUACUAAUUGAGUGUAUGUAAACUUCUGAACCACUGGGAAUGUGACUAAAUAAAUAAAAGCUGAAAUAAAUCAUUCUCUCUACUAUUAUUCUGACAUUUCACAUUCUUAAAAUAAAGUGAUGAUCCUAACUAACAGGGAAUUAUUAUGAGGAUUAAAUGUCAGGAAAUGUGAUAAACUGAGUUUAAAUGUCUUUGGUGAAGGUUUGUGUAAACGUCCGACUUCAACUGUAAAUAGAACGUGUGAACAUGUAGGCUGAGCAAACAUUUAACAGAGAACACACCAACAAACAUAAAGCAAAGUACUUUUUUGGACUUUGAGGGGUUUUGCCUUUUUAGGGCUUAUAAGAGCCAACUCCUCUCCUAAUGUACCAACAGUCUGUGGAGGAUGUCAUUGUAAAUACAUUGGAAAAAGACUCACUUAAAUACUGAGGUCAGUUUGUAAUACCUUGUGAAUUAAAUCAAAGUAUCGUGGCUGGCGGGGCUCUACUUGUGGAGAGUGGGUCCCCUGAAAGACCGAAGUGAGAUGAGUGGAGGCACCACGCGUUCUUCAGGGAAGAGGGACCAAGCUUGUCCCUCUCCACCUCCUCCUUCCCAGUUUUAUUUCUCCCUUUACCCCCCCCAACCUCCC
rnacentral:lncRNA from 13 species